UUGAAACCAAGAAAGUUGUAGAAGAAGCUAAGGUUGAUGAGGCAGCUGAUGCUGCAGUGGAAGAGAAAGCAGAACAAGUAGUGAAACCCGACCAAGAGCCUGUUACCGUUGAGGAAACCAAAGAAGAGGCCCCUAAGGCUGAGGCUGAGGCAGCUCCGGUCCAGGAAGAGAAACCAGCUGAAGAGGAGAAGCCAGCUAAAGCACCUGAAGAAGCAGCUUCCACAGGAGUUCCAGUCGGCAAGACUGACUGAGGAAUAGAGCCCUAUCAAAAGUCGGCCAAGUUUUAUUUACUUUUACAUAAUUUUUUGUUCUAAGUCAGUCUCGUUAUUA
rnacentral:lncRNA from 1 species